rnacentral:rRNA from 1 species
AUGAACGUUGGCGGCGUGGAUUAGGCAUGCAAGUCGAGCGAGAACCCCGCAAGGGGGGACAGCGGCGCAAGGGACAGUAAUGUGUAGAUUAUCUGCCCUCAGGUCCGGGAUAGCCGCGGGAAACUGCGGGUAAUACCGGAUGACAUCUCCGGAUCAAAGGUGUGAUUCCGCCUGAGGAUGAGUCUACAUCCUAUUAGCUAGUUGGCAGGGUAAUGGCCUACCAAGGCGAUGAUGGGUAGCGGGUGUGAGAGCACGACCCGCGUCAUUGGGACUGAGACACUGCCCAGACACCUACGGGUGGCUGCAGUCGAGAAUCUUCGGCAAUGGGCGCAAGCCUGACCGAGCGACGCCGCGUGUGGGAUGAAGGCCUUCGGGUUGUAAACCACUGUCAGAGGGGAUGAAAUGCAGGUGGGUUCUCCCAUCUGUUUGACAUAGCCUCAGAGGAAGGACGGGCUAAGUUCGU